rnacentral:rRNA from 1 species
GACGAACGCUGGCGGCGUGCCUAAUACAUGCAAGUAGAACGCACAGUUUAUACCGUAGCUUGCUACACCAUAGACUGUGAGUUGCGAACGGGUGAGUAACGCCUAGCUAACCUGCCUGGUAGCGGGGGAUAACUAUUGGAAACGAUAGCUAAUACCGCAUAAUCUUGAUUAUUUCAUGAUAAUUGAUUGAAUGAUGCUAUUGCAUCACUACCAGAUGGACCUGCGUUGUAUUAGCUAGUAGGUGAGGUAACGGCUCACCUAGGCAACGAUACAUAGCCGACCUGAGAGGGUGAUCGGCCACACUGGAACUGAGACACGGCCCAGACUCCUACGGGAGGCAGCAGUAGGGAAUCUUCGGCAAUGGACGAAAGUCUGACCGAGCAACGCCGCGUGAGUGAAGAAGGUUUUCGGAUCGUAAAGCUCUGUUGUAAGAGAAGAAGGGAUGUGAGAGUGGAUAGUGCAGACUUGACGGUAACCGUACCAGAAGGGGCGGCUAACCUAGGG